UGGCACAUGUAUGAUGUACUGCACUACGUUAAGCGCCGCAAUACACAUAAAACAUUGUCUGAGACAAGUUACAAUACAACAUUCAAUUAGUAAUAUUGACUUAACAAUAAAUACAACAAAGGGGUCAUAGACGAGUAGUAAACCAUCAAAGACGACGAAUAAUAAAGACUUGGUCACUCACGUGGGUUACAAACAUGAUCUUAAAAACCCUAAUAAAGUGAGGAAAAAAGGUUUACAACCAAGACCAACCGCAAAAAACUUCUAAGAAUAACGCAAAGGUUUAGUCCAAAGCUUAUUAGGCAUAAAAAAUAAAAAUAUCUAGUAGACGUUAGUUCCAUAACUAACAAAGGAGGGAAUUAAUUUAUUAUUAGCUAUGUUACUUAAGGUCAUUAAUCUCUUUAGUAAUGGCAGGAAUGCAGCUAGUGCUUCUAGCAAUCUCACCUUUCUUUGGGACAAUUAUGUCCCUUGGACUAAUAGAUUUGGCUCUGAGAAUUCCCUUUCAAUCUCCAGCAUUCCUCUUCAACAUUUCCCUCAUAGCUUUAGCUUGAUAAAGAACAGGAUAAGCUCUACCAAAUUUAUUAAACUUGCUACAAGCACUCAUGUGGCUACUCAAUGCUUCUUCAUUCUUUCCUCCAUUAUUUUUCUGCUUCUUCUUUCACUGCUUCAACACACAGCCCACAUAUCCACUUUCCCGAAUACUUUUUUCGAACUUUAUCGAUGUAUUCGUAUGUGAAUUCUUCGCUCAUUCCACAACACUCGCAUUUUGCAAUUUCAACUUCAGAUAUUGGGGGUAGAUUUGUCUCAACAGUACAAGCCUCUUUGCUCAUAUCGGAUAUUGUCCUUUGUAAAUUAUCGUUGGAGAGUCGUGGGGGUUUGCUAAGGUUUUUUGUUCGUACGUAGGAAGUGGUAAUAGUCUCUCCAUGUGGUGCCAUUGUGCUAAUUUUCGACCAAAUAAUAUUUCAAUAAAAUGAUAGGCUUAGUUCUUAGAAGAAUUAUGGAUGAGGAAGAUGAAGAUGGUAUUGUUAUUUCAUCUUUUGCAAGUUGAAAGCCGAAAAGUUGUGGACCAUAUAGACUGAGACGUCACUACUGAAUCUAUCUAAACAUGAAUUGUACUCGUGAAAAUGCGCUAUGUUCAUGUGUCUUAAUAGAAAAGGCAAAACUUUGGCUGCUUGUUCACGUGCGUGAUGUGAUGCUUUCUUAUACUCCUCCAUUUGUUA
rnacentral:lncRNA from 1 species